rnacentral:lncRNA from 1 species
UAUAUAUAUAGUUCGGCUGAGAUACUAUCGAUAGUACUAAGGGCUGGUGCUAUUGAGUUUUUCACUAUUAGAUUUAACCCUUUGAUUAUUUUUACCCGUUAGAUUAUACUAUUCAACUAACCACCUACUCAACCCUAGGGGCUCCACAUCAUCCUAACCGCACACCUCUUAAUCCAAUGGCCAAAAACUUGGUAGCACCAGUAACUUGGUGCUAUUAAUAGCAUAGUAGCCUAGUUCUAUAUAUAUAUAUAUA